rnacentral:rRNA from 1 species
AUACGGAGGAUCCGAGCGUUAUCCGGAUUUAUUGGGUUUAAAGGGUGCGCAGGCGGCCAUUUAAGUCAGCGGUUAAAUCGUGGGGCUCAACCCCAUUCUGCCGUUGAUACUGGGUGGCUUGAUUGCGGUCGAGGUUGGCGGAAUUCGUUGUGUAGCGGGGAAAUGCAUAGAUAUGACAAAGAACACCGAUUGCGUAGGCAGCUGACCAGACCGCAAAUGACGCUCAUGCACGAAAGUGCGGGGAUCGAACAGGAUUAGAUACCCUGGUAGUCCGCACAGUAAACGAUGAAUACUUGUUUUCGGCGAUAUAAUGUCGGAGGCAAAGCGAAAGCGAUAAGUAUUCCACCUGGGGAGUACGCCGGCAACGGUGAAACUCAAAGGAAUCGACGGGG